GAGGAAUAUUGCGCAAUGGGCGAAAGCCUGACGCAGCGACGCCGCGUGUGGGAUGAAGGAGCUUUGCUUUGUAAACCACUGUCGGACGGGAAGAAAAAGUUCCUACGGGGGCUUGGGACAGUACCGUCAGAGGAAGCACCGGCUAACUACGUGCCAGCAGCCGCGGUAAUACGUAGGGUGCGAGCGUUGUCCGGAAUUACUGGGUGUAAAGGGUGCGUAGGCGGGCAUGUGCGUCGGAGGUUAAAUACAACGGCUUAACCGUUGAACUGCCUUCGAAACGGCAUGUCUUGAAUGUGGGAGAGGAUGAUGGAAUUCCUGGUGUAGCGGUGAAAUGCGUAGAUAUCAGGAGGAACACCGGUGGCGAAGGCGGUCAUCUGGCCCACUAUUGACGCUGAGGCACGAAAGCGUGGGGAGCAAAC
rnacentral:rRNA from 1 species